ACAUAAUCAGAAAAGGAUUAAUUGCCACAAUAAAUUACACUUAUGUGGAAUUAGCCUUGGUGAAUGGUGCACACAUAAAAAAACAAACAUGUUGAACAUGAAUAGAAACAUAAACAGUGAAUACA